GUUUCAAAAGAUAAAUAAGUUUUCAUGAUUAAAUACACAGAUUAUUGUGGAAAAUAUAUGAAAAUAACCCAUUUUUAUUCCGUUGCCAUGGUUACGGUGUAAGAGACCCCAGCCCAAAAAUCGUAAAACUUGUAGUACACAUGUAAACCUUUAUAGAAAUAUUUAAAACAUUUAAAAAUUCAAAGUACUUUAUGAGAUUUCAUGUCCUUUUGAUGAUCUUUUUACCAAGUAUCCAAAAUAUGCCCAAAAUGCCCUUUUUGGACCGGUCAGCCUAAAAUUUAGCAAUACUCAAGCUUUAACAUUUUGUCAAGUUUCCAAGGACAAAUGGUGCUU
rnacentral:lncRNA from 1 species